UACGGAGGGAGCUAGCGUUGUUCGGAAUUACUGGGCGUAAAGCGCACGUAGGCGGCGAUUCAAGUCAGAGGUGAAAGUCCGGGGCUCAACCCCGGAUCUGCCGUGCGGACUGGUUUGCUAGAGCACUGUAGAGGCGAGUGGAAUUCCGGGUGUAGCGGUGGAAUGCGUAGAGAUCCGGAAGAACACCGGUGGCGAAGGCGGCUCGCUGGGCAGUGGCUGACGCUGAGGCGCGACAGCGUGGGGAGCAAACAGG
rnacentral:rRNA from 1 species